rnacentral:rRNA from 1 species
GACGAACGCUGGCGGCGUGCUUAACACAUGCAAGUCGAACGAUGAAGAAGAGAAACGCGAACUUCGGUUCAAAUUUCACUUCGGAUUAGUGGCAGACGGGUGAGUAACGCGUGAGCAACCUACCUCUUACAAAGGGAUAGCCUCGGGAAACCGUGAUUAAUACCAUAUGACACAUUCAUAAGGCAUCUUAAGAAUGUUAAAGCUACGGCGGUAAGAGAUGGGCUCGCGUCCCAUUAGCUAGUUGGUGAGGUAACGGCCCACCAAGGCGACGAUGGGUAACCGGCCUGAGACGGUGCACCGUCACAUUGGAACUGGGACACGGUCCAAACUCCUACGGGAGGCAGCAGUGGGGAAUAUUGCCCGAUGGAGUGAACUCUGAUGCAGCGACGCCGCGUGAGCGAUGAAGGAAUUCGUUUCGUAAAGCUCUGUUCUAUGGGAAGAAAAGGACUGUACCAUAGGAGAAAGCCCCGGCUAAAUACGUG